rnacentral:tRNA from 2 species
GGGCGCAUGGCUCAGUGGGAGAGCGCCUCGUUCACACCGAGGAGGUCCGUGGUUCAAAUCCACGUGCGCCCACCA